rnacentral:tRNA from 1 species
AAAGGGAGACCUAAUUCAGGUAUGGGACGAAAAAAAAGUAGUCGCUACCAAGAAUCAAUCCCAAAAGGUCGGAGCGAGGCAUAAGGCUUUCAAACUAGGUUCUGGGUUCACACAAGACCUGAAUCAGGAACAAGGGCUAUUAGCUCAGGUGGUUAGAGCGCACCCCUGAUAAGGGUGAGGUCCCUGGUUCGAGUCCAGGAUGGCCCACCUGUACAGGUGGCAAAAAGAAAGAAAAGAAGCGAGGAGUCAGCACCUUAUCUUACUUAUAUAGUAGGAGAGAAUGCUGGCUCUGAGUACAGAGUCCAGAGGAACCUUGAAAACUGCAUAGAGCUAGGUGAAAAAGCCAAAAAAGAAGACCGCAAG